rnacentral:rRNA from 1 species
AUUGAACGCUGGCGGCAUGCCUUACACAUGCAAGUCGAACGGCAGCGCGGGGCAACCUGGCGGCGAGUGGCGAACGGGUGAGUAAUAUAUCGGAACAUACCCUAGAGUGGGGAUAACGUAGCGAAAGUUACGCUAAUACCGCAUACGCACUAAGGUGGAAAGUGGGGGAUCUUCGGACCUCAUGCUCAUGGAGUGGCCGAUAUCUGAUUAGCUAGUUGGUGAGGUAAAGGCUCACCAAGGCGACGAUCAGUAGCGGGUCUGAGAGGAUGAUCCGCCACACUGGGACUGAGACACGGCCCAGACUCCUACGGAGGCAGCAGUGGGGAAUUUUGGACAAUGGGCGAAAGCCUGAUCCAGCCAUUCCGCGUGAGUGAAGAAGGCUU